GGGGGGGGGGGGGGGGGGGCCGGACACAUGCAAGGCGAACGGGAACGGGCGGUCGGGGGGCGACGGGGGGCGGACGGGGGGGUAAUAGACCGGUACGUGCCCGAUCGUGGGGGAUAAGGAGGCGUAAGCCCGGCUAAUACCGCAUACGAGCUACGGAGGAAAGGAGGGGACGGCAAGGCCUUGCGUGGGCGGAUCGGGCGAUGCUAGCCUAGGCAGUUGGCGGGCGAAAAGCUUACCAAGCCGACGAUCUGUAGCCGGUGUGAGAGGAUGAUCCGCCACACUGGGACUGAGACACGGCCCAGACUCCUGCGAGAGGCAGCAGUGGGGAAUUUUGGGCAAUGGGCGCGAGGCUGAUCCAGCCAUGCCGCGUGCAGGAUGAAGGCCUUCGGGUUGUAAACUGCUUUUGUACGGAACGAAAAGCCUUCUUUUAAUACAGGAGGGUCAUGACGGUACCGUGAGAAUAAGCACCGGCUAACUACGUG
rnacentral:rRNA from 1 species